UUAAUGGCCACUACCCACCAUUCAUUCACAUUUCAGAAUUUGAAUUUUGCGUUUUUGAAAUCCUCUGGAAACUGUAUCACGCUCUCUUCAAAAGCAAUUCCCCCUUCUCCGCCUUACUCUCUCACUAAAACCCUAAUUAGUCAACUACUAUUUGUCGCCUCCACCACAACACACAUACAAACACAAAAACACACCCUGAUUGACCAAAAAAACAUGACAACCUCUCACCAGAGAAAGAAAGGAAAAGGUAUAUGCAAAUCAAAAAGGGUAAUUUUUCUCUUCAUUUUAUCUGCCAGCUAACUCUUGUGGUUUUGUUGGGUUGUGAGCUCAAGAUGAUUAAAGUUCUAACCUAAUAUUUCUUAAUCUGUUGAGUUAUGAGUUUUUUUUUUUUUUUGGGUUUUUGGGUGUUUCAGAUUCUGGUGUUUUGUAUGGUACUAGGUUUCUUUGAUUUGGAUUUUUUGGUUUCAGGAUUUGCAGCUUCUCCAUGGUCAAUCAGGAAUAAAAUUCCUAAGUUAUUAAUCUAAUCUUGGUUCUUCUUGAUUUAGUUCUUACUUCUGUUGAAUCCUAGCUCAUGCCCACGAAGAUCAAUGAGAUGACAUUAAAUGUAAUGACAAGGAAGCUUUCACCAACUUUUAGCGAAGCAUAUAUGGAACAUAUAUAAGCUUGGAAGUCGUGGAUGAAGAUGUCUACUUCGAACAACAACAACGCUUCUGGCUCAACCUCUUCCGGCUCAUUCUCACUCAUGAAUUUGUGUAGGAGGGUGAUUUUCGAUGGGUCCAACUUCAACGAUUGGAUCCACAACAUUCGAAUAGUUACCCAUUACGAGGACAAGGAGUAUGUCCUUUACAAGGAGCUGAAAGAAGUUAACGUCAAGACUGUUACUCCCGAAGAGAUCGCUGCCUUCGAAGCUCCCGAGCGAGAUGCUACGAAAGUCCAUUGCAUCAUGCUUGCGACAAUGACCGCUAAACUCCAAAAGUCCUAGUGGACUACUACCCCUAUGAGAUGCAUCAAGAUUUGAUGGAUAGGUACCAUCAAGGUGCGAUGCAUGAAAGGUAUGAGAUCAUCAUUGUGGUGAUCACUACCAAAAUGAAGGAAGGA